rnacentral:rRNA from 1 species
GUCCCAGCUGUAAACGAUGCAGACUCGGUGAUGCACUGGCUUGUGGCCAGUGCAGUGCCGCAGGGAAGCCGUUAAGUUUGCCGCCUGGGAAGUACGUACGCAAGUAUGAAACUUAAAGGAAUUGGCGGGGGAGCACCACAAGGGGUGAAGCCUGCGGUUCAAUUGGAGUCAACGCCAGAAAUCUUACCCGAAGAGACAGCAGAAUGAAGGUCAAGCUGGAGACUUUACCAGACAAGCUGAGAAGUGGUGCAUGGCCGUCGU